rnacentral:lncRNA from 1 species
UCUCCAAUUAAAAUAUUUUUUUUUUUAGAAACUGAAACUGAAAUUAGUAACUAAAGUGCAAGAUUUUAUCCAUGGCACAUCGCACGUUAUAUACAAUAUAUUUUUUCCAUUUAACAACGUUAUACCUAAAAUCACUAAACUCACAUAUAACAAUAGAACAUACUGUAGCGGUCCUAAUGAACCAAUAAUACCAGGAGAACCCGGAAUAACAAAGGUUUGGUCCCAACUCAGCAUACUGUUGAAUCCAAAAAAAUUUACUGAUAUUCCAGACGAUAUUCCUCUUAAAAGUGGAAAGGAGACCCCAACGGCAAAUCCACCACUACUAAAGCCGGUUACACAGAGAAUCACUCCAGUAUCGCCUCAGGUUCCACCGCAACAGACUGAUCCAUCUACUACUCCCGACAUGGACAUACCAAACAAACCACCUGCUGUUCCUAACCCGACUGAUCCUAAUUCGGAUCCAGUUAAUCAGAACGAAGUAGCCUAGUUGAGUCCCAGAAUUUAUAGUCCGUUUUUCUAGUAGCCGAGUUCAGUCCCGAAGAUGGGUAAAUUGAGUCCCGUGUCUACCUGCGGCUUAGUCGUUGUUCUUAAUGUUUUUUAGGAAUAUAAAAAUAAUUUUUUUUAA